rnacentral:rRNA from 1 species
CCUACGGGUGGCAGCAGUGGGGAAUAUUGCCCCAUGGAGGAAACCCUGAUGCAGCGAUGCCGCGUGCGUGAAGAAGUAUUUCUGUAUGUAAAACUGUAUCAGCAUGGAAGUUAACGACCGUACCUGACUAAGAAGCCCCGGCUAACUACGUUCCAGCAGCCCCGGUAAGACGGAGGGGGCAAGCGUUAUCCGGAUUUAUUGGGUGUAAAGGGGGCGUAGGUGGUAGGGCAAGUCAGAUGUGAAAACCCGGGGCUCAACACCGGGAGUGCAUUUGAAACUGUCGAGCUGGAGUGCAGGAGCGGUAGGCGGAAUGCAUGGUGUAGCGGUGAAAUGCAUAGAUAUUAGGAGGAACACCAGUGGCGAAGGCAGCUUACUGGACUGUAACUGACACUGAGGCUCGAAAGCGUGGGGAGCAAACAGGAUUAGAUACCCGAGUAGUC